rnacentral:rRNA from 1 species
AACGAGCGCUGGCGGCAUGCCUAACACAUGCAAGUCGAACGAGACCUUCGGGUCUAGUGGCGCACGGGUGCGUAACGCGUGGGAACCUGCCCUUAGGUUCGGAAUAACUCCCCGAAAGGGGUGCUAAUACCGGAUAAUGUCUUCGGACCAAAGAUUUAUCGCCUUUGGAUGGGCCCGCGUUGGAUUAGCUAGUUGGUAGGGUAAAAGCCUACCAAGGCGACGAUCCAUAGCUGGUCUGAGAGGAUGAACAGCCACACUGGGACUGAGACACGGCCCAGACUCCUACGGGAGGCAGCAGUGGGGAAUAUUGGACAAUGGGCGAAAGCCUGAUCCAGCAAUGCCGCGUGAGUGAUGAAGGCCUUAGGGUUGUAAAGCUCUUUUACCCGGGAUGAUAAUGACAGUACCGGGAGAAUAAGCUCCGGCUAACUCCGU